ensembl:misc_RNA Metazoa_SRP Metazoan signal recognition particle RNA
GCCAGGUGCGGUGGUGCGCGCCUAUAGUCCCAGCUACUCGGGAGGCUGAGGUAGGAGGAUCUCUUGAGCCCAGGAGUUCUGGGCUGUAGUGCGCUAUGCCGAUUGGGUGUCCACACUAAGUUCGGCAUCCAUAUGGCGACCUCCCGGAAGUAGGGGACCACCAGGUUGCCUAAGGAGGGGUGAGCUGGCCCAGGUCAGAAACGGAGCAGGUCAAAACUCCCAUGCUGAUCUCACCUGUGAAUAGCCAGUGCACACCAUCCUGGGCAACACAGCAAGAACCCAUCUCUA